rnacentral:rRNA from 1 species
UACGUAGGCAGCAAGCGUUGUUCGGAAUUACUGGGCGUAAAGAGUGUGUAGGCGGUGCUCUAAGUCUGUUGUGAAAUCUCCCGGCUUAACCGGGAGGGUGCGGCGGAAACUGGAGUGCUUGAGGGUGGGAGAGGUAAGCGGAAUUCCUGGUGUAGCGGUGAAAUGCGUAGAUAUCAAGCGGAACACCAGUGGCGAAGGCGAGUCCCUGGACAACUCCUGACACUGAGGCACGAAAGCUAGGGGAGCAAACAGG